rnacentral:rRNA from 1 species
UGCAGUCGAACGGCAGCACGGGAGCAAUCCUGGUGGCGAGUGGCGAACGGGUGAGUAAUAUAUCGGAACGUGCCCAGUCGUGGGGGAUAACGUAGCGAAAGCUACGCUAAUACCGCAUACGAUCUAUGGAUGAAAGCGGGGGAUCGAAAGACCUCGCGCGAUUGGAGCGGCCGAUAUCAGAUUAGGUAGUUGGUGAGGUAAAGGCUCACCAAGCCGACGAUCUGUAGCUGGUCUGAGAGGACGACCAGCCACACUGGGACUGAGACACGGCCCAGACUCCUACGGGAGGCAGCAGUGGGGAAUUUUGGACAAUGGGCGCAAGCCUGAUCCAGCAAUGCCGCGUGCAGGAUGAAGGCCUUCGGGUUGUAAACUGCUUUUGUACGGAACGAAACGGUGAGCUCUAAUACAGUUUGCUAAUGACGGUACCGUAAGAAUAAGCACCGGCUAACUACGUGCCAGCAGCCGCGGUAAUACGUAGGGUGCGAGCGUUAAUCGGAAUUACUGGGCGUAAAGCGUGCGCAGGCGGUGAUGUAAGACAGAUGUGAAAUGCCCGGGCUCAACCUGGGACCUGCAUUUGUGACUGCAUCGCUAGAGUACGGUAGAGGGGGGAUGGAAUUCCCGCGUGUAGCAGUGAAAUGCGUAGAUAUGCGGAGGAACACCGAUGGCGAANGGCAUCCCCUGGACCUGUACUGACGCUCAUGCACG